rnacentral:rRNA from 1 species
GUGCAGCAGGCGCGAAUCUUCCACAAUGGACGAAAGUCUGAUGGAGCGACGCCGCGUGCGGGAUGAAGGCCUUAUGGGUUGUAAACCGCUGUCAGGGGGGAAGAACAUCGGAAUGAACAAUACUCAUUCCGACUGACGGUUACCCCCAGAGGAAGCUCCGGCCAACUCCGUGCCAGCCAGCCGCGGUAAUACGGGGGGAGCAAGCGUUGUCCGGAAUUAUUGGGCGUAAAGGGCGUGUAGGCGGCGAGGUAAGUCGAA